UUCGCCGUCAGCGACUUCUCCGUCUUCCCCCACCGAAUCAGCCACCGACUUCCCCCGUCAGCAGAGACCGCGACUUCUCCGUCUUCCCCCACCGAAUCAGCCGGCCCAGGAGCUUGUUCGUCUCGCUUCGACCUACAAGUUAUCCAUGGCAAGAAAGUGUUUUUAUGUUGUGAAGAGAGGGCGACAAUGUGGCAUUUUUGAUAAUUGGGAGGAAUGUAAAUCCGCUGUUGAUAAAUUUCCAAAUGCCUCUUACAAAGGGUUUGUAACGUACGAAGAGGCUUUGAGUGAAUGGGAGAAGCACACUAUCGAUCGUGGUUCAGCAUCCAGCUCAAGGCCUGUCCAGACACCGCAUCAAUUUCAACAACAAAUAUUUUCGGGGAAUUGUUUUUUCCCCGAUCUAUGUUUUUGCAUUAGGUUCAAUGUUUACAAUGAUAGUGUUCGUAGUAUGUAUCGUUGCAGUAUUUGUUGGCUUGUCCAUUGUAAAAGGUAUGUGAUGUGAUUUGUAGUAUGUGGGUUGAUUGUAACAAAAAAUGCAGCGUGGUUGAUGGGAAAGUGCACAUCCGUAUGUUUUCAUCGAGAUGUAUUUGAUGAAAUAAACCUUUAAAUUUCUUGUCAUUCAUGCAAUUUUGCAAAAAAGUAGUAGUUUUUAUUU